AGAACGACUAAUAGUGACCAAUUCUUCAAACAGCUAGGAAGAAAAUGAGAGAAAAUCUUUACUGGCGACAGAAAGCCUGUGACCGUCGUGUUCAGAGGAAUCAUACGAGCCGGACAGAAGCAUCUGCUGCGUCUCUCCACAGCCAGGAGGAGGAGGCGCACAUGCAAACGCUCGGCCAUCAUCAUAAUCAUUACUAAUCCUUCAAUAAUUCAUGCUCAAGCCGCCACGGCCGAAUCGCUUUCACAACAUGAGAUGCUCUACUGCCAACAGGACCCACACCCCUCAGCACCGGUCCAAGCCUGAUUGAGUUUUGGCUCCGGCUGCGUCGGGGAGGAGGAUCCUCUUCUGGGAACGCCAUCCAACAUGUUUCUUGCCCAUCAAUGGAAACAUUUGGAAGCAUGACCAAAGGCGUUGUCCCGGUCCAAGUCAGUCCCAGCAGGGGGCCAUCGGGGGCCCCUCAGGAGCCUCUGUAGCAUCUCUGCUGCCCCGUUGCUACUGUGAGAACACAAACCACACAAGAUGAUGGUGAUAAAAGGAAAAUAAGAGCACAGGCGGCAAGUAAAUAAAAAAAGUGCACUGAAGUGUAUUUACUUACCCCUUACUAUGUACUGCUGUAGUAAUCAUACUUAUUUGUGUUCAGUAAUAAACUAAAAUUUAGUGCUUCAA